GUGGGGAAUAUUGGACAAUGGGCGAAAGCCUGAUCCAGCCAUGCCGCGUGUGUGAAGAAGGUCUUCGGAUUGUAAAGCACUUUAAGUUGGGAGGAAGGGUAGUAACCUAAUACGUUGCUACUUUGACGUUACCGACAGAAUAAGCACCGGCUAACUUCGUGCCAGCAGCCGCGGUAAUACGAAGGGUGCAAGCGUUAAUCGGAAUUACUGGGCGUAAAGCGCGCGUAGGUGGGUCAGUAAGUUGGAAGUGAAAUCCCCGGGCUCAACCUGGGAACUGCUUUCAAAGCUGCUGAGCUAGAGUACGGUAGAGGGUGGUGGAAUUUCCUGUGUAGCGGUGAAAUGCGUAGAUAUAGGAAGGAACACCAGUGGCGAAGGCGACCACCUGGACUGAUACUGACACUGAGGUGCGAAAGCGUGGGGAGCAAACAGGAUUAGAAACCCUGGUAGUCC
rnacentral:rRNA from 1 species